GGAGGGGGCAAGCGUUGUUCGGAAUCACUGGGCGUAAAGGGCGUGUAGGCGGCCUACUAGGUCAGAUGUGAAAUCCCCAGGGCUUAACCUGGGAAUUGCGUUUGAAACCAUUAGGCUUGAGGCUGGGAGAGGAAAGCGGAAUUCCUGGUGUAGCGGUGAAAUGCGUAGAUAUCAGGAGGAACACCAGUGGCGAAGGCGGCUUUCUGGACCAGACCUGACGCUAAGGCGCGAAAGCGUGGGGAGCGAACGGGAUUAGAUACCCCGGUAGUCCACGCCGUAAACGAUGAGCACUAGGUGUAGCGGGUAUCGACCCCUGCUGUGCCGCAGCUAACGCAUUAAGUGCUCCGCCUGGGGAGUACGUUCGCAAAGAAAUG
rnacentral:rRNA from 1 species